UUGCAUGUAUAAAGGGUGUUUUUCAUAUUUUCAGAUUUCCACAGAUCAUGAACAGUAAACAAGUUCAGGGCAAAAGAAAACUAGAAGAUUAUUUGAAAAUGGUGAACCGACCCUGUCGGGUCAUGAUAAGGAAUAUUCCUGCUCCGCUUCAGCAGUUUUACUUUUCAGGCAAACUUCAAAACAUAGUUGAUGGAGCCAGUCCUGGGUCCAAGGUUAAGUCUAUGAAGCCUGGCUCAAAGAAAAAGGAAACUGUCCCCAAAAAAACGAAACCGAAGAAAUAUGUCCCAAUGAAGGAACCUCUCUUAAUGAAGAAACAUGUCUCCAUGCAGGAAGAAUCUGGUGAUAGUGAAUGUUGCAAGGGAGAGAUAAAGGUCGGAGAUGUAUUUGUAGGAGAAAGCAAAACGAAGUACAAGGUUGUUGAAGUCCUAAAUAUGGCAGAUUUCUCUGAGAUCUGGAGGGUAGAAGAUAUUUCAACAAAUAAGAGAUUUAUUCUCAAGUUUGUCAAUAUCAAACUUCAUAAGACCUUAACCGAAACAGAAAUUCAUAUUCUUAAGAAGGCGCAGAAUUCUAGGAAGAGAGAGGAGAACUAUAUAGUCUCCCUGAUUGACACCUGUGAGGCCUGGAAGGACAGGUGUCCCCACAGUCUCCUCAUUCUGGAAGAGCUGGGGGACAGUCUACUCAAGAUCAUCCAGGGUGCCAGACCGCGGCUGGAUUAUGUUAAGCAAAUCGUGCAAGAGAUAUUACUCGGAUUAGAUUUUCUUCAUACUAGGUGUAAAUACAUCCAUUGUGAUAUUAAACCCGAGAACAUUCUACUCCGCCAGGAGUACAAAGGAGACCGCAAUCAGAAAAUGAUCAAAAUAAUUGACGUUGGUAUUUCGCGGAAGAGUCGGCCAUCCUAUAGAGGGGAAAUCCAGACCAGGGAGUACAGAGCUCCAGAGGUUUUGACUGGAGAGCUGGGACGCAAGUACAAUCUUACAGAGAAGGUGGAUAUCUGGUCCGUCGGGUGUGUGCUGUUCGAGCUAAUUACAGGAGAGUUUUUGUUCAAACCAAAAGAAGAUACAGAUUUUGAUCACAGAGCAGAGAUCGAGAAAGUCAUAGGAUCAUUCUGCGGGUUUAAUAGCAGUAUGGCGUCUACAAAGGACCAGCCUUUAUUGACAACCCAAUUCUUCGCAUGAUUUACAUGAUGGUUUGGGGGAAGAAAUAGUUUUCAGCUGAUGGAAACCAUGGAUCAGAGUGGUUCGAAAACGGAGAGUCUUUCGGUUUCCCAGCGGAUUCUUCGGACGUCCAGGUUAACCUGUGCUGAAGUCUUUGAACUCCAUUCG
rnacentral:misc_RNA from 1 species